rnacentral:rRNA from 1 species
AGUGAACGCUGGCGGUAGGCCUAACACAUGCAAGUCGAACGGCAGCACAGUAAGAGCUUGCUCUUACGGGUGGCGAGUGGCGGACGGGUGAGGAAUACAUCGGAAUCUACUUUUUCGUGGGGGAUAACGUAGGGAAACUUACGCUAAUACCGCAUACGACCUACGGGUGAAAGCAGGGGAUCUUCGGACCUUGCGCGAUUGAAUGAGCCGAUGUCGGAUUAGCUAGUUGGCGGGGUAAAGGCCCACCAAGGCGACGAUCCGUAGCUGGUCUGAGAGGAUGGUAAGGGAAAUUGGAAAUGAGGAACGGUUGCGAACCAUACGGGAGGCAGAAGACGGGAAGAUUGAAGAAGGGGGGGAGGACUGAUACAGCUUUAUCGAGUAAGAGAAGAAGGCGUUCGGGUUGUAAAGUCCGCUGGCUGGGAAACAAAAACAGCAGGUUAAUAGCGCGGUGUACUGAAGGUACAGAAAGAAUAAGCACCGGCUAACUUGGUG